GAUCAGUUAGUUCUCAUUCUUAUAAUUUUAGUUCUCAUCCUUAUAAUUUAGGUCAAAGCGCAUGUCAGAAAGCAGCAAAGUUAUUCAUUUAACAUCUUUUACUGACAUUUCUGAAUGUCUCAAGCCCCAGCUGGAUAGAAGAUACGCUUAUACAGAAGAACCUAAGGUUAAAACCAUGUCAGAUGUUGGUGCCUUGGGAGGAUUUGACAUGGAAAAUUUGUUGCAAUCUUUGUAUGUAGAAAAUAGAGCUGGAUUCUUCUUUACUAAAUUCUGCGAGCAUUCAGGGAACAAGUUGUGGAAGAACAGUGUGUACUUUUGGUUUGACCUGCAGGCUUAUCAUCAGCUUUUCUACCAAGAAACACUUCAGCCUUUUAAAGUAUGCAAGCAAGCGCAAUAUCUUUUUGCCACAUACGUUGCUCCUUCUGCCACUCUUGACAUUGGACUCCAACAGGAAAAGAAAAAAGAAAUUUAUAUGAAAAUACAGCCACCAUUUGAAGACCUUUUUGACACAGCAGAGGAAUAUAUCCUUCUCCUCCUUCUUGAGCCAUGGACAAAGAUGGUAAAAUCGGACAAAAUUGCUUAUAAAAAGGUGGAGCUGGUGGAAGAAACUCGACAGUUAGACUCCACAUACUUCAGAAAGCUACAGGCUUUGCAUAAAGAGACAUUUUCCAAGAAAGCUGAGGACACCACUUGUGAAAUUGGAACUGGCAUUUUAUCACUCUCUAACGUCUCUAAACGAACAGAAUAUUGGGAUAAUGUUCCUGCAGAAUACAAGCAUUUUAAGUUUAGUGAUCUGCUUAACAACAAACUGGAGUUUGAACAUUUCCGUCAGUUUCUUGAGACUCAUUCUUCAAGCAUGGAUCUUAUGUGCUGGACAGACAUUGAGCAGUUCCGGAGAAUAACUUACAGAGAUCGAAAUCAAAGGAAGGCAAAAUCUAUAUACAUUAAAAACAAAUACCUUAAUAAAAAAUAUUUCUUUGGACCCAACAGUCCAGCUUCUCUGUAUCAGCAGAACCAGGUAAUGCAUUUAAGUGGUGGCUGGGGGAAGAUUCUUCAUGAGCAGCUUGAUGCACCUGUUCUAGUUGAAAUCCAGAAGCAUGUGCAAAAUAGGCUAGAAAAUGUAUGGCUGCCAUUGUUUCUUGCAAGUGAACAGUUUGCAGCACGUCAAAAGAUAAAGGUACAGAUGAAAGACAUAGCAGAAGAGCUCUUACUACAGAAGCCUGGAAAGAAAAUCGGGGUCUGGAAGCCUGUGGAGAGUAAGUGGAUCUCUUCAUCUUGUAAAAUCAUUGCUUUUCGCAAAGCAUUAUUGAAUCCAGUUACUUCAAGACAAUUUCAACGUUUUGUGGCUCUAAAAGGAGAUUUAUUGGAAAAUGGUUUACUCUUUUGGCAAGAAGUACAAAAAUAUAAGGACUUGUGCCAUUCUCACUGUGAUGAGUCUGUCAUCCAGAAGAAGAUUACAACUAUUAUCAACUGCUUUAUUAAUUCCAGUAUUCCACCAGCUUUACAAAUUGACAUUCCAGUAGAGCAAGCCCAGAAGAUUAUUGAACACUGGAAGGAGUUAGGACCAUAUGUAUUUAGAGAGGCACAGAUGACAAUUUUUGGGGUUCUGUUUAAAUUCUGGCCUCAGUUCUGUGAGUUUAGGAAGAAUUUAACAGAUGAAAAUAUUAUGAGUGUUUUAGAAAGAAGACAAGAAUAUAAUAAACAGAAAAAAAAAUUGGCAGUCCUAGAAGACGAAAAAUCUGGAAAGGAUGGAAUCAAACAAUAUGCAAAUACUUCAGUGCCUGCUAUCAAAACUGCUUUACUCAGUGAUUCCUUCCUAGGCCUCCAACCAUAUGGCCGACAGCCAACCUGGUGCUACUCAAAGUAUAUAGAAGCCUUAGAACAGGAGAGAAUUCUUCUUAAGAUCCAAGAAGAACUAGAAAAAAAGUUGUUUGCAGGCUUGCAACCUCUCACAAAUUUUAAGGCUAGUGCUUCAACUAUGUCUUUGAAAAAGAAUAUGUCUGCCCACAGCAGCCAGAAGUGACAGCAUUCAUGUGAGUGUUCACAUCCUGCUGCUGAUAGGUUCAAGGAAUUCUUUAAACCAGAUUUUGCUGACAUGAGAAGCUCCAGUGAUUUGUUUUUUUGAAGGUCUGUAUCAGAGCAAGCCUAACAUCUAAAUAAAGUUUGAUUCUGGAUUAUCCAGGUGGGAAAUAAAUAAAGAAAAUUUG
rnacentral:sRNA from 1 species